rnacentral:rRNA from 1 species
UACGUAGGGUGCGAGCGUUAAUCGGAAUUACUGGGCGUAAAGCGUGCGCAGGCGGUGAUGUAAGACAGAUGUGAAAUCCCCGGGCUCAACCUGGGAACUGCAUUUGUGACUGCAUCGCUGGAGUGCGGCAGAGGGGGAUGGAAUUCCGCGUGUAGCAGUGAAAUGCGUAGAUAUGCGGAGGAACACCGAUGGCGAAGGCAAUCCCCUGGGCCUGUACUGACGCUCAUGCACGAAAGCGUGGGGAGCAAACAGG